rnacentral:rRNA from 1 species
UACAGAGGUCCCAAGCGUUGUUCGGAUUCACUGGGCGUAAAGGGUGCGUAGGCGGUCUGGUAAGUCUGACGUGAAAUCUCCGGGCCUAACCCGGAAACUGCGUCGGAUACUAUCCGGCUAGAGGAUUGGAAGGGAGACUGGAAUACUUGGUGUAGCAGUGAAAUGCGUAGAUAUCAAGUGGAACACCAGUGGCGAAGGCGAGUCUCUGGACAAUUCCUGACGCUGAGGCACGAAAGCCAGGGGAGCAAACGGG